rnacentral:rRNA from 1 species
CCUACGGGAGGCAGCAGUGGGGGAUAUUGCACAAUGGGGGGAACCCUGAUGCAGCGACGCCGCGUGGGUGAAGGAGUGCUUCGGCAUGUAAAGCCCUAUCGGCAGGGAAGAAGCAAGACGGUACCUGACUAAGAAGCCCCGGCUAACUACGUGCCAGCAGCCGCGGUAAUACGUAGGGGGCGAGCGUUAUCCGGAUUCACUGGGUGUAAAGGGCGCGUAGACGGCCACGCAAGCCAGGGGUGAACGCCCGGGGCCCAACCCCGGGACUGCCCUUGGAACUGCAUGGCUGGAGUGUGGGAGGGGCAGGCGGAAUGCCGGGUGUAGCGGGGAAUUGCGGAGAUAGAAGGAGGAAC